rnacentral:lncRNA from 1 species
UGGAUAAUGAUGGGAGACCACGGAGGAUUUGUCAACCGUGGAGCCCACAAGACAUAGCAUUUUUACAGGUAUCAUUUCCUGCCCCCUCUAGAUCCAAAUGGGUUUGUAAAACAUUUAAAAAUAAUGUGUGCCAGCUAUUUCCCCACAACAUAAGAUCUUAAUGAGUUAAUGGAGACAGUAUUAACCCCUACAGAACAUACUAAAUGGGUGGCAGGAUAUGACGAGUCACCUUUUUCAUGGCCUGCAGGGGUGGGGGGACAAGCAGUUGCACACAUAUGGGAAAAUUGCCCUGAUGAGAGGAGUGAUGUUGUUCUUAAAAAAUUUGUAUGCAUUCCUCAGCAUCAAAGUAAAAACAGUUUUUACCCAGCCUAUUGACUAUACAUAGCAUAGUGCAAAAGAAAGGAGAAAAUCACUAUGAAUAUGGGGAAGCAAUUAAGGUUUUUGGAAGUUUUGAAGAUAUCACGGUUGAAUCAAUUAAGCCGUUCAUAGUGAAUACCUUAGUAAAUGCUUUGGAUGCUAAAGUAAAAAAAAAAAACAAUUGAUGUUAUCCUUACUGGGAUGACGGGAUAAAUCACUUGAUAUUGUAUUAAGUGCAGCAUCAGAAAUUUGACAAGCUAUUCAAAUCAAGGAAAAUGCAAAAGCUGAGCACAUAAUGCUACAAGCUGAACAAAUUCCUGUUAGAUAUUAUGCACAUCAGCCAAGACAAAACACAGCCAGAAGACCCCCACAGAAUAAUGUAAGAACAUUUAUCAAAUGUUUCAAUUGUGAUGGAUAUGGUCAUAUAGCAACAGAUUGCAAGGAGGUAAAGGGGGCAAGAAAGCAAUUAGAAGAAAAAGACAGACUAGAUGUAGAGGAAGAUUGGGGUCUGAAUAUGUAUUGUUAGUGUACCUGUGACCCAAGGUCUAGAACCUAUGGUACAUUUGAAAGUAAAGGGAUUGUAUGUGAUACUGAGGGAAGAAGAAGUAAGUGAUUUUGGUGGGGAGAAUGUAUAUUUAGUGGAAGACCAGCAUUGCCAUCAUUGUUUAAUUCUGAAUGGUCAAGGCUGGGCCUAGAAUCUGUAUUGGCACUGGUGUGUUCUUCAUGUGUUAUUUGUUUACAAUACAAUGCAGGUCAGAGACCUAAAUCAUCCUCCCUGUCCAUGAGGUCCAUUUGUAAAUUUACAAAUGGAUUUCAUUGAAUUACCAAAGGUAAUGCAGUACCGGUAUGUGCUAGUAAUAUUAGAUACAUUCUCAGGUUUGGUUGAGGCUUAUCCUUGUUGCCAUGCCGAUAUGUCUACAAUGUUUAAGAAAUUGUUACAAGAAUUUAUACCCAGGUAUGGAUUGCCUCGGCACAUUUACUCAGAUCAGGGAACACAUUUUAUAGGAAAAGUAGUGCAACAGAUAGCAAAAAUUUUGCAAAUCCCUUAUCAUUUACAUUGCUCUCAUCCUCCUCAGUCAGAAGGAGCAGUAGAAAGGGCCAAUGGAACAUUGAAAAACAAAAUUGCAAAAAUUGCAGCAGAGAAAGUUAAAGUGGCUUAAUGCACUUCCUCUUGCCUUAAUGUCUAUGAGAUUCUCUCUAGUUUGAAAGCAGGGUUAUCCCCUCAUGAAAUUCUAAUUGGAAGACCAAUUUUCACAGGAGGGGUACCUAUAAAAUGUUAUUCUCAUGAGAUAAAUAAUGGUUUAGUAAUGACGUAUUGCAUGUAGCUAACAAAACGAUUAGUCUCUCUAUAUGCAGGUAAAAGCUGUACAGCGAACAAGUGAAUACCAACCUUUGCAUGCCAUCGCUCCUGGAGAUUAUGUUAUGAUAAAAGACCAUUCACGAAAGCACGCGUUGCAACCAAGGUGGAAAGGACCUUCUCAAGUGUUAUUAACCACUAAUCCAGCUGUUAAAGUCGCAGGGGUUAAAUCUUGGAUCCACAUUUCCCAUUGUAAACUGACAAGCGCUGGAAAAGAUUUUUUCACUGGAAGAAGAAUAGAGGACUAAGGAAGCCGUUUUCCCUUAUAAAAAGGGGUACUUUUUAAGGGGAGUAUCUUUCUAAUCCAAAGUCAACUCUACUGUUUUUCUUCAUGAAUCUCAAACUGGUUAAACUUAUAUUGUAUUUAAUGAUUGUCAUUAUGACAUUUUUUUUAAUUUUUCAUCCUCUACACUACGUUAGCUCCUCUUUUUCUUCUUUAAUACACGUGUAGCUUGGGCCAGGGAGCCAAGUAUUUUUCUUCUUGGGAGAUAGAUAAUCAUUUCGUUAAAAC